UACGUAGGGUGCAAGCGUUGUCCGGAAUUAUUGGGCGUAAAGAGCUCGUAGGCGGUCUGUCGCGUCUGCUGUGAAAACCCAGGGCUUAACCCUGGGCUGGCUUCCGAUACGGGCAGACUAGAGGUAUGCAGGGGAGAACGGAAUUCCUGGUGUAGCGGUGAAAUGCGCAGAUAUCAGGAGGAACACCGGUGGCGAAGGCGGUUCUCUGGGCAUUACCUGACGCUGAGGAGCGAAAGUGUGGGGAGCGAACAGG
rnacentral:rRNA from 1 species